CAAACCUGCUGUGGUUUGAAGAUGGUUUAUCCUUACAAAACCCACAUUGCAACAUUGUGCUCAGUGUGACAUGCUGACAGGUGUGGGGCCUUUAUGGGGUGAUUCUGUCAUUAAGGGGGAUUAAGGCCUUUCUCGAAGGACCGGAUCUGUCACUGCAAGAAUGGGUGGGUAUAGAACAAGCGUGCCAACUCCCUCCUCUCUCUUGCACAUGUAUCCCCCGGAUAUUCUACUUCCUGUCCUGACUCAAAGCAAAGAAGACUCUCACAAGAAGCCAAGCAGAUGUUUGUGCCUUGCCAGCCUCCAGAACCACGAGCCCAGGUAAAGCUAUCUUUGCAAACCACCCCAUCUCCAGGAUUCUGCACAGCAACAGAAGAUGGGUGAAAAGACACUCCUUCUUUUCAGAAAACAGCAAGGGCUUCCCCCAUCCACAGGGUAAGGCUCUGUGUCAUGGCUGUGGGGUCCCCCAGGCUCUGCCUGCCCUCUUCUCCAGCUCCCUUUCAAGGGGCACGAUCAAUUUCCAUGAUAGACCAGCUGCUGGUGAGCCCUUGGCAGGACCUGGAGGUGCCAGUGAGAAGGACUUCUCUCUAGCCUGCCCUCCCUGCAGCAUACGAGAAUCUCACUUCAUUUGGCACUUCAAUACACUCUCCUGCCAUGCUACCCUGUGUCUCUGGAUUUCUCAAGUUGAAAUGGACAGCAGAAGGGAAGCAGCUGUCAUGUACAAAUUGGGUUCCUCUCCAGUCUCCAAAGGGGAGUUUGAGGCUGUUUUGAGAGAAGGAGAAAAUGGGAUCCCAAAUUCUACCGUGUGCCUACACUUAGUGGCUUCUCAGUAAAUGUCUCUCAGCGUGCGAAGUGAAACGAACCACACCCUAAAACCCGG
rnacentral:lncRNA from 1 species